rnacentral:tRNA from 1 species
GCCUUGGUGGCAUAGUGGUUAAGCGCUCGGCUACUAACCGAAAGGUUGGUGGUUUGGAUCCACCAGUGGCU